rnacentral:rRNA from 1 species
UACGUAGGGUCCAAGCGUUAUCCGGAAUCACUGGGCGUAAAGCGUGCGUAGGCGGGAAUUUAAGUGUGAUGUUAAAUCGUGUGGCUCAACCAUAUCGAUGCAUUGCAUACUGGAUACCUGGAGGAAGGCAGAGGCAAGUGGAACUAGUAGUGUAGAGGUGAAAAUUCGUAGAUAUUCGCAAGAACACCAGUGGCGAAGGCGGCUCACUGGCCGGUACUGACGCUGAGGUGCGAAAGCGUGGGGAGCAAACAGG